UAGUAGUGAUGAAAUUCCACUCCAUUGGUCCGUGUUUCUGAAUCAGAUGAUUUUCCUGGAUAAAAAAAAAAAAAAAAAGAUAGCAAAUAUUA